rnacentral:lncRNA from 1 species
CACACACACGAGUGCGCAUGCACACACAGCCUGAUUAUUACCCUAUCUCUAUUGUCCUCUGUUCACAUGUCUGUCCUGACCUUGGGAUUAUGAGCUCUAUGAGAUCACAGAUAGAAUUGUGUAGGUCUGUGUUCUUAGUGCCAAGCAUGGGACCUGGCACACAGACCAUCUUAUUGAAUGUUUACCGUUAAGAGGAACUGGUGAAACCAUACAGAAGACCCAGGAUUCCCACUGGCCUCAGAGUCCCACCAUCCACUCUGGUCACUCACCACAAAUGGACAACCUGGGCAGUCACUGUCCUGGAUUGGGCAUAUUGCAGUGUACAUAACAGGCUGGGCUCCUGGUCUCAUGGAGUGAACUGUCCAGAUGAUGAAAUCCUGACUCAGAAAGGUAAACUUGCUCAAGGUCACACAGUUGUGGCAGAGUCAGGACUUGAACCCAGACACCAGCAUCCAAAGUCUGACCUCUUAACCCCUGCGUGGCCCAGGCUGAGAAUUAAGGGCCAGAUAGAGGCGGAAAGCGACACCGAGAAUCCAUUCCAAACGAGCAGCCAAGAGGAGACGAGGCAGCUCCCAGAUGUUGAUGCUUUGUUUUUUGACAUAAAUCUUUGCACUCAUGUGGGAGUUUUCAUUGAUUCAUGUUCCCAUCUGCUGAAUUUCCUUUUAUUUAUUUAAUAUGGCUUUUUGGGGAAAUCUUGCUCCGAAGCUCUGGAGGGGCAUAAACCGUGGCAACCGCUGCACCCCUCCUCCCUCCUGCCAACCUCGGCUGGGGGAGGGGGGUCGGUGGUGUCCAGAGGGGAGCGCGGCUC